rnacentral:rRNA from 1 species
UUGAACGCUGGCGGUAUGCUUAAGACAUGCAAGUCGAACGGGGCCCUUCGGGGUUCAGUGGCGGACGGGUGGGUAACACGUGUGAAUCUGCCCAAUAGUGGGGGACAGCCCGGCGAAAGCCGGAUUAAUACCGCAUACGCCCUACGGGGGAAAGGCGCAAGCCGCUAUUGGAUGAGCCCGCGUAAGAUUAGCUAGUUGGUGAGGUAAAGGCCCACCAAGGCAACGAUCUUUAGCUGGUCUGAGAGGAUGGCCAGCCACAUCGGGACUGAGACACGGCCCGGACUCCUACGGGAGGCAGCAGUCGGGAAUAUUGGACAAUGGGCGCAAGCCUGAUCCAGCAAUACCGCGUGUGUGAAGAAGGCCUGCGGGUUGUAAAGCACUUUCAGUGGGGAAGAUAAUGACGUUACCCACAGAAGAAGCACCGGCUAACUCCGU